CCGCGGUGUGAAGGCCCUGGCAGGGAACCUCUGGGGAAUGUGCAGCGACAGAAAGCUGGCUUUGGACUCCUGCCAUGCCCAGGGGACACCACCCUCAAACAACCACAUCAGUCAAAUAGGACCCUACUUCAACUCCUUCCCUCUGGCACGUAGCCCUGGAAGGAUCCAAAGCAGUAGGGUGACCAAGGAAGCUGUGAAGCCUACCUAAUAUUUUGUCCUGGGCAGAAGAAGGUGUUUUUCAACAGAGAGCAGGGUGACUAAAAAGGUUUGGAAGACUACAAAGAUCUCUUCUGCUUGCACCAUUUGAGUCCAGCUCAAACAACAGGCCACGUACACAGGGACUUCAAACUCAGAAAUCACGUCUGAAGCAGAAAUGACAAAGGAAGCUUAACACAAAGGCCGAUUUUCAUCCUCCCUCAUGUGGUGCCACUUGCGAAACAGAAAGAAGGAUCUGGAAAUGAGCUUUCUUCUGUGGGGUGGGUUGUGCUUUGA